rnacentral:rRNA from 1 species
UCCACCGAUUGACUAAGGUUUCCAGAGGAAGGCUCGUCCGCUCUGGGUUAGUCGGGUCCUAAGCUGAGGCCGACAGGCGUAGGCGAUGGAUAACAGGUUGAUAUUCCUGUACCACCUAUAAUCGUUUUAAUCGAUGGGGGGACGCAGUAGGAUAGGCGAAGCGUGCGAUUGGAUUGCACGUCUAAGCAGUAAGGCUGAGUAUUAGGCAAAUCCGGUACUCGUUAAGGCUGAGCUGUGAUGGGGAGAAGACAUUGUGUCUUCGAGUCGUUGAUUUCACACUGCCGAGAAAAGCCUCUAGAUAGAAAAUAGGUGCCCGUACCGCAAACCGACACAGGUAGUCAAGAUGAGAAUUCUAAGGUGAGCGAGCGAACUCUCGUUAAGGAACUCGGCAAAAUGACCCCGUAACUUCGGGAGAAGGGGUGCUCUUUAGGGUUAACGCCCAGAAGAGCCGCAGUGAAUAGGCCCAAGCGACUGUUUAUCAAAAACACAGGUCUCUGCUAAACCGUAAGGUGAUGUAUAGGGGCUGACGCCUGCCCGGUGCUGGAAGGUUAAGAGGAGUGGUUAGCUUCUGCGAAGCUACGAAUCGAAGCCCCAGUAAACGGCGGCCGUAACUAUAACGGUCCUAAGGUAGCGAAAUUCCUUGUCGGGUAAGUUCCGACCCGCACGAAAGGCGUAACGAUUUGGGCACUGUCUCAACGAGAGACUCGGUGAAAUCAUAGUACCUGUGAAGAUGCAGGUUACCCGCGACAGGACGGAAAGACCCCGUGGAGCUUUACUGUAGCCUGAUAUUGAAAUUCGGCACAGCUUGUACAGGAUAGGUAGGAGCCUUUGAAACGUGAGCGCUAGCUUACGUGGAGGCGCUGGUGGGAUACUACCCUAGCUGUG